rnacentral:rRNA from 1 species
UGGGGAAUUUUGGACAAUGGGCGAAAGCCUGAUCCAGCAAUGCCGCGUGUGUGAAGAAGGCCUUCGGGUUGUAAAGCACUUUUGUCCGGAAAGAAAUCCUUGGCUCUAAUACAGUCGGGGGAUGACGGUACCGGAAGAAUAAGCACCGGCUAACUACGUGCCAGCAGCCGCGGUAAUACGUAGGGUGCAAGCGUUAAUCGGAAUUACUGGGCGUAAAGCGUGCGCAGGCGGUUUGCUAAGACCGAUGUGAAAUCCCCGGGCUCAACCUGGGAACUGCAUUGGUGACUGGCAGGCUAGAGUAUGGCAGAGGGGGGUAGAAUUCCACGUGUAGCAGUGAAAAUGCGUAGAGAUGUGGAGGAAUACCGAUGGCGAAGGCAGCCCCCCUGGGCCAAUACUGACGCUCAUGCACGAAAGCGU